rnacentral:rRNA from 1 species
ACAACAGUUGGAAACGACUGCUAAUACCGCAUAAGCCCACGGCUCGGCAUCGAGCAGAGGGAAAAGGAGCAAUCCGCUUUGAGGUGGCCUCGCGUCCGAUUAGCUAGUUGGUGAGGUAACGGCCCACCAAGGCGACGAUCGGUAGCCGGACUGAGAGGUUGAACGGCCACAUUGGGACUGAGACACGGCCCAGACUCCUACGGGAGGCAGCAGUGGGGAAUAUUGCACAAUGGGGGAAACCCUGAUGCAGCGACGCCGCGUGGAGGAAGAAGGUCUUCGGAUUGUAAACUCCUGUUGUUGAGGAAGAUAAUGACGGUACUCAACAAGGAAGUGACGGCUAACUACGUGCCAGCAGCCGCGGUAAAACGUAGGUCACAAGCGUUGUCCGGAAUUACUGGGUGUAAAGGGAGCGCAGGCGGGAGAACAAGUUGGAAGUGAAAUCCAUGGGCUCAACCCAUGAACUGCUUUCAAAACUGUUUUUCUUGAGUAGUGCAGAGGUAGGCGGAAUUCCCGGUGUAGCGGUGGAAUGCGUAGAUAUCGGGAGGAACACCAGUGGCGAAGGCGGCCUACUGGGCACCAACUGACGCUGAGGCUCGAAAGUGUGGGUAGCAAACAGGAUUAGAUACCCUGGUAGUCCACACCGU